UUUAAAAACCCAUUUAUUCAGUGAUUGAGAGACAGGUGAUGCUUCAGGGAAACAUCCCAGCCUAAGUCAGACUGCAGAGCGAUGAGAUGGGAAACAGAUUCACAAAGAAUUAAAUUAGUGCAUUAAAUGUUAUGAAAAUUUUUCAGAGGUUAGAGGUCUCAUCCCUUCUGAUUUCAAAGCUUAUUUAGACACCACUGUGCCUAAAGUAGUGUUGACAGGGUACAAAGGCCACACAGACCGACGGGAUGGAGUAGAAGCACAGAAGUCCCUCACCUACGUAGAAAAUGAUGUUUGACAAGGGUGACAAUGUCUCUCAACGGGGAAAGGACAAUCUUUCCAGCAAAUAACAUCAAAAUAACUGAGUGUCCACUGCAAGAAAAUGAAGUAUCACUGUUUAUGUAAUGUACAAAAAUCAACUCAAAGUGGAUUAAUGAUCGAGGCAUGAGAUUUAAAACAUACUGCUCAUAGAAAAGAAAAAUAACAGCGGAGAAGCGUCACAACAUUGAAUUUGGUAAUGACUUCUUUGUAACAAAAGAGAAAGUCCGUCAGCUCUGAAUUGAGUCACUUUAGGCAAGUUCUUGUCCAUGUACUCCAGUCUUUCAAGGACGGCAAUAUCAAAUCAUCAGCAUACGUCGAACUCUGGACAUAGUGCAGGCUCUCUGUAAACUUGCUGCCACUACAAGCUCUGCUCUGUGGUAGCUGUGGUCUGUGACUAUUUUUUCCCUUACUGUGAUUCUUUGUUCCCUGUAAGUUUAUUGGUUCUAACAGCUCUAAUCAUCCAAGCUGCUAUAAUCACCUCUUCUUCUCUCCUUCUCUCUGUUGCUUUUCUGUUCUUCUGUGCUUUUUCUAUACCCUCAACUCUGUUGAUGAUGAUCAAUGUGUUAUUCACAUUACCAGCCAAUUACAGAAUUGCUCUUUUUCAAGAGAUAAUAUUUUUGUGGGUUCCCAGUUUCUUCUCUUUUUUUUUUUCCUGCAAAGUAUGUGUCUUUAUCAUUUAUUGGAACUCUAGCGAUCCUCAAAAAAAUAGUUUUUGAACUUUUCAAGACUUACUCUAUUAGAGAUUACAAAGAGCAGCAGAACCGCCAACACAUGGUUUCAAUCCUAAUCAGGUCAAUAUCCUUCCCAGUGUUAGUCGAGAUCCCUCUAAAAGCGAGCUCGAGACAAAGGGCCACAUGCAAUGUGUUUAUAUGGAAAGAGAUGCCAGGCACACAGAGAAGACGGAGCAGUAAAGUCAGGAAGGGAAGGGAAAUACAGAGAAACAUGGUCAACUGAGGCAGGUCACUGGGGACUACUUCUGCGGUAUCUUCUAGGAACCUUAAGAAAUGCAUCUCAAAGGAAGAAAAGAAGUAUUGACCUUCAGCUCUCAUUCCAUUUCAGUCCUGGGGACCCUAAAGGCAUCAACAUUCCUUCAUUUCUAGGUUUCCUAUGUCUGUGUCUGUGAGUGUCUGGAGGUGUUUGUCUCCACCACGUCAGGACACUUUGGCACCAGAACUGAUAGGUACACAGGGCGGGUCUGAGGUCCCGCCCGGGGAGAGCCAGCCAAACAGUGCAGAUGACCACACGACGACCAUGGUUGGCAGCAACUACUUACACAACUCAGAAUAGCUUGUAAUAUUUUCAGUGUUUCUCCCAACACAAAGAAAUGGUGUUUGUGGUGAUGGACCAGCCAACUUCCCUGAUCGAGGAAAUAUAUUUGUUUAUAUGUCAUAUGCCUUUACUGAAAUAUCACACUGUACCUCAACUAUGUGCCAGUCAAAAUUUUAAUAAAUCUAAAAAAAAAAAAAAACCGGCAUAGGAGAUUAGGAAACUCUGGUACUUGAUGACCAUGCAAUAUUGAAUAGCAUGAUUUACUGAGCUGGGGACCCAGCAGCAGUGUGUGCAGGGCUGGUUUCCCCAGCCAAGGCCACAGCAGGAAUCGAUACUGAAGCAAUCCACCCUUCGCACUGCGCAGAUCUGCUCGUGUUCACCCUACAUCCAGCCUUUCACAGAUUCCUCCUCAAAGUGGUGGCUAGAUAAACUCUCAAAGACCUAAGGUAGCAGGUAACUGAACAAGCUAUGUCACUGAAAUUAAAGCUGAUUUUGAUGCCAUAUUGGACAUCAGUAGUCUAAGUUCUCCAUCUGUCAUUCUGGAUUUAUCCACUUUUGGCCAGAACAGUGGUGAGUCCAGCUGCGCGCAGAGCAGAGUGAUGCAGAUCCCCUCUCUGGACAGGCCUGAGUUCUUCCACCGGGAGCUGCAGUAGUGGUGACCUGAUAUUCAUUGUUGCCAUGAGUUGUGGAAUUGAGAGCAGAUAGUCCAGCGAACCCUCUGGAUGAAGAAGGGAUUUCCCAGAACUGCCCAGAUCUUUGGAUCCUUCCGGUGCCCUCUACUGUGGGAGGCUUCUGCGUCUGCAAGCUUUUCGGCAGCACAAUGCUCUCCAGAAUGUGGAGAUGAUCAAGGUCCUUGCAGAGUCUACUUUGGCAGAGAGCAAUAGCGUUAGGACGGCUCUGAGGCACCGUGUGUUACGCCUUCCCCAGCUGAGUGAGCACUUCCACAGCCCCCUUAUUAAGUGGAUCCAGAAGAGAGCACCAGUUCAGCAGCUGCACACGACCUACCAGAGGAGCAUCGAUCUAGACCAUUAAAAUGCUGCAUUCUCCACUGUAGCCGUUACCAAGCUGCCACUGUUUCGUCGUGCCCCAUCUCAGUUUUGUAGCAGCCAAAGAGGUAAACCAAAGGGGCACGAUGAGGAAUUUCACCCUGCACCUCCUAAUCGUGGUGCUCACCUCUGUGAACUCCUCCAGAAUGUG